rnacentral:rRNA from 1 species
AGUGAACGCUGGCGGUAGGCCUAACACAUGCAAGUCGAACGGCAGCACAGUAAGAGCUUGCUCUUACGGGUGGCGAGUGGCGGACGGGUGAGGAAUACAUCGGAAUCUACUUUUUCGUGGGGGAUAACGUCGGGAAACUUACGCUAAUACCGCAUACGACCUACGGGUGAAAGCAGGGGAUCUUCGGACCUUGCGCGAUUGCAUGAGCCGAUGUCGGAUUAGCUAGUUGGCGGGGUAAAGGCCCACCAAGGCGACGAUCCGUAGCUGGUCUGAGAGGAUGAUCAGCCACACUGGAACUGAGACACGGUCCAGACUCCUACGGGAGGCAGCAGUGGGGAAUAUUGGACAAUGGGCGCAAGCCUGAUCCAGCCAUACCGCGUGGGUGAAGAAGGCCUUCGGGUUGUAAAGCCCUUUUGUUGGGAAAGAAAAGCAGCAGGUUAAUACCCCGCUGUUCUGACGGUACCCAAAGAAUAAGCACCGGCUAACUUCGUG